GCAAGCUUGGCCGAGUUGGACCAAGGCGCCAGACUCAAGAGAAUUUCCUCUUUCACUGUUUCAGUGAAGCAUUCUGGUCUCGAAAGAGGCGUGGGUUCGAAUCCCACAGCUUGCA
rnacentral:tRNA from 1 species